CUGAAUGUGCCUGCCUGAUCCUGUCUGAUCUUGGAGGCUAAGCCGGGUUGGGCUUGGUUAGUACUUGGAUGGGAGACCACAUAGGAAGACCAGGU
rnacentral:rRNA from 1 species